rnacentral:rRNA from 1 species
AUGGCAAUCAUUCCAGCAAUGCCGACAAGCACCCCUUUGAACACAAGCACUAGCAACACUCGAGUAGAUGGAACUGCCGCCGAUACUGAAGCGAAUGAUGAAACUGACGACGACGCACAAGAGGAUGAAGAUGGUGGGCAAUCCGAGAUCGUGGUACCUCAGCCACCAUACAUUGGGCAGAGAUUUGGAUCGUUCGCAGAAGCAAAGGAAUACUACCAGGCAUACGCAAAGUUCCAUGGAUUUGCGGUCAACACCGAGUACCAUAGGAAAAUUAAGAAAACUAAUGAGUACAGCAGAGGUGAGAUGAGGUGCCACAAGGCACGGAGGAACAAGAAGGGGAAAGGUGUUGCGCCUGUCAUUCCGGAACGAAAGAGAGGCAUCAUUCUCAAGACGGGGUGCCCUGUCCGGUGUAAGCUAAACGUAGAUGGAGCAACAUGGGUGGUCAAUGAGUAUUUUGACGAGCACAACCACGAACUCAUAAAGAAGUUCGACCUGGUGAAAUUUCUGACCGCCCACAGAGGGUUCACCCCCGUCGAAAGGAAAUUCGUAAAGCUGCUACAUGGUUGUAACGUUGGUCCAUAA